GCAGCGGGGCCGGACGGGUUCGGUGGCGGUUCGGCGUACAAGCGCGCCUCUCUCCCCCGCCCCGCACCCCGCUCGGCCCCGCAGCCGUUACUUUCACCCCGGGCGGCCUCUCCGGAGCAGCCGCGUCUGACGUCGGCGGCGCGUCGCGGUAGCCAUAGCAACCGGGAAUGGGCGGUGCCUCUCGGAGCCCGGGGCCGCAGCACCAGGAGCAUGCGCAAUGAGGGCAGAGCAACAGCUGCUGUGCUUGGAUGCCGAAAGCCCUUGUCCUGCAGCCCUUCGCAUCCUCACUGUGUGGUCUGCUCAGCCCAACGGUGCUGUUCUCCCUGAGAAAGACUGCGGAUCUGCUGCGAGCACCGAGGCGGUUUGAGUGGAAAUUACGACACACAUACCAGAACUAAAACCAUAUGAAGCAGAAUUUCCUGGUGUUUGAAACCAUCUGAAAUGGAAUUUCCUGGUGUUUGAUGUGUGACUUCCGAGGCAACUCUUAAAAGCGUUUCAGCAUGCUACAGGAACACUGAGACUACGCUCACUUCACCCAAUAAUUUUAGAGGUGAAAUACACAGUUCUGUAUCACAACUCUGGGAGAAUGCUGAAAAAAAGUUAUAUUUCAGCAGGCACUGACAUUGUAUCCACGCUCACUAACAAUAUGCCAUGGACACUGUUACCAUGUUUCACAGACACUGUUCGACAUCUGAACAUGGGCCUGCUUCCCAUCAACAGCACAGAAACUUCCCAUUACUGCUGUUAAUGCUCUUUUUUCCAAAACCUCAAUUGAACAGGGUAGAACAGGACCAGCAGUAACUAUAGAAAGAUACAUCAUUUUGGGUCACUCUUUCACUAUUCUAUAGUCAACUUGAUUCAAAAAACUAAUUUUGUUUGCAAGAUGAUUUUUCAUUUUUUUCUGAUGAAAUAGCAUAUAUGCUGUAAUUUUUUUUUUAAAGCAGUUUUCAUUCAUCUCCCUUUGAACACAAUCAGAAAUUAUGUCAAAGCUUAAAAUGGUGCCCUGCUCAGAACACAACCACUCAAAAUAGGCUAAGUAGCAGAGAGAGCACGUUGGCAAUAACAAGCCCCUCAGUACUGCCGCUGCAUGGCAAUCCGAGCGCUGCUUUUCUGUCCUGCACACAGGCUGAUUUUCACUCGCUUAACAACUUCAAUCAGAUGAUCUCAAACUGUUUUAAAGAGCUACAAUUUGUUAAUUCUAAGGCUUGCAGUGAUUUAACUUACCACAUUACAGCAAAUAAUGAUAAAGUCUUUCACAUCAUCAUGUAUUUCCAACAUAGUUAAUGGAGAAAAAUCAAGCAAAAUCAUUACAAUCAGUCUCCAAAUUAUGCCUUGCUAGCAUACUCAUCUUAAAAUAUAUUAUUUGUAACAUAGUACUCCUAAUAUAGAUUCUCUCUUGGCUGUAAAAUAUGUAUGCAGUGGUUUGUUGCUACAGUGUGAAUUUAAAUAUCAGAUACAUAGUUACAGAGUUAAUAGCAAGGUAAAAAUUACUGUUUCUCUUCUUAGCAAAGAUGUAUUUUUCAAUUAGGCAGGAACAAGAAUGACAUGACUACACAACACUGUCUAAAAGCCAUACACUAUUACACCUCAAAAUUGCAAUCAAUUUUUUUUUUUCCUACCUUUGUUCUCAAUAACUGCUAUUUAAAGUUGAUGCUACAACAUAAAACUAAUUAACUGAGUAAUCUUGUGUAGCAUAGCAAUUAAUUUAUGCUAAGAUAAUGAAAUCAAAUUUAACUAAUUAAAAAUAAUUAAAAUUAAUAAGACACUCUGAGAAUUAGAUAAAAAGUCCAGAAAGCUGAGAAAUUCCCAGAGCUGGUUUCAGUAGAACCUUUUUAAGACUCAAGAUAACCGAUUCCUAAACAAACACAUUUGUGAAGUCUAAUCCAGUGUUUUGGGUAAACAUUUAGAAAAUGAUCCUAUUUUGAGUCACAUGUAAGAAACACAGAAAAAUCAUUAAGAAUAUAAAUUAGGAAAUACAGUUCUCAAAAAAAUCCCCUCAAUAUAGUAAACAACCUAUAUUACGGUCCGUACUGAGGAUAUAUUCCUGCAUUUGUCAAGAUACUGGUAUGCUUUCAAUCAGUUAAACUCAGUUUUAAAAGACCAGAUACAAAAUUUCAGCAGCAAUGGGACAAGAGACUUCCUCUCCUCUGUAACACAACUCACAAGCUCAUAGGAGCUAUUGAGUCAGACAACAAAUAUGGCUUUAGAAGUGGAAAAAAUAACAGAGCAAAAAAAGAGAGUUCAGCUAAUGUCUCAGUUAUGAAGGAGUAGAAAGAAUUCCAACACCAAUUGUCACCAUAUUCCAGCAACUUAUUCCCCCCCGCCUCAAGUACUGACUGCCAAUAGCAUUCACACUAGACUUCAGGGUUUUUUUAUUACAUAAUUCACCCUCUUUCAAGUUUGUAAUCCUUUAAUAUUUCUCAUGUGAAAAUUGUGUUUGUUGACUUUGUAGUAAACCACUUUUCUGGAUUGC